AUAUAUUAAUACACAAAAACAUAAAAUUUGUAUAUAUAUAAUAUAUAUAUAGAACAUAUUAAGAAUUCCUACCUGCAAGUCAGUAAGAAAAUACAUAUAGCUCAAUAAAAAAAUGGGCAAGAGGAUUGAACAGACACUUCACAAACUGGAUAUCCAAGUGAAAUGGUGCUCAACAUCAUCAUUCAUUAAGGAAAUUCAAACAAAACCCUACUAGAAUGGCUAACAUUGAUAGAAAAUACCAAGCACUAGGGGUAUAAUAGUAAAUAAUAAAGACGCAAUUCCUGCCUACAUGCUGCCUAAGGUAAAUAGGGUGAUUCAGAAAAUAUAAAAGCAAGCUGGGUGUAGUGGCUCACACCUCUAAUUCUAAGCCCUUUUGGAGGCUCAAGCAGGAGGAUUGUUUGAGGCCAGGACUUCGAGACCAGCCUGGGCAACCAAGUGAGAUCCCCCCCAGUCUCUACAAAAAAAAAAAAAAAAAAAAAAAUUUAGAAAAGAAAAUAUAAAGGCACUAAAAAUACUGUGCAAUAAGGUUUAUGAUGGGGAAGUAACCACAGCUAUGAAAAGCAAAGACAUUAUUUUUCUUGGCUAGAGAACUUCAUGGUAGACAAUUAUGGUACAGGUUAGACCACUGUCUCAAAAGGGGAUCCAAAGCAGAAAAUGAAAAACUGUUUUUGCACAAAUGCUACCUUGGAAUUCUGAGACCAUUAAAAUUCGUAUACAAUUGUCUAGUAUUAUUCCAGUUAAAGAGAGCCCUGCUAAUUUUAGCCCUCUGCCAGACUUUAAAAAAAAAAACAAAAAAACAAAAAAAAAACUUAGCUACUGUUGCAAAAUGUGCUCAAGGAAAUGAAAUGGCAAGAUAAUUACAGUAGUCCCAUCUUGGUAACUAGCUUGCAGUCAUGCUUCCCUGGGACUUCUACCAUGUAUCUGGGUCUCUUUUGAAUCUCAGCUUGUCUCACGUUCUUCUUAGAAUCCAUUUUGAUCAUGAUAUGAACUCUGAUGUCAUUUAGCUAAAAAGUAUUGAAUAGAGAAUGGAGAAAAUGAUCCCCCUUCCUUUUAUACUUUAUGAGUUUUUAAACUAAUUUCUUUAUUUGGAUCAAAUUUGCAUUUAAUCUUUUUUAAGGAAAAAUAUCUACUUACUAAGAAAAUGUGUUUCAGAGUUUACAACGGCUAGAGACUUGCUGAAUGUUGUCCUCAAUCUCAGGAAUGCUUGGUCAUCAGCCCUCAAAAGGAAACAUAAAAGUUCCUUAUCUGACCGUGUGUUUGCGCACACACCUUCCCAAAGCCAUUGAGUCCCUCCCUUUUCCUGCCAUUCAAACUGGCCAGAAAGGAUUCUUUCAAAGGAAAAUGGUAACAUUAGAAGUCUUUUACCCA
rnacentral:lncRNA from 1 species